UGGAAGCAUUGCCGCGGGAAUUCAUCGCGUAGGGGCGGGACUUCCGGCCUCCUCCUUGUGGUGGCCAUUUUGCCGUUCUCGGGCGUGCCGGGGCGGAACUGAAGUGACGGAACUGUCAAGGCUCAGGAGUUGUCCCCACGGCUGAGAGGCGGGUCGGCGGCUCGGCAACGCCGCAGCCCGAGCUGUCCCGUGGCGGUGUCCGCUCCUCUCCCUUCCUCUCCGGGCUACGCUCUGUCCACAGAGUCCAAUGGCGGCGGCCGCGCCCGGGGACCCGGCUCAGGAUAGCGUGACCUUUGAGGAUGUCGCUGUGUACUUCUCCUGGGAGGAGUGGAGGCUCCUUGAGGAGACUCAGAGAUGCCUGUACCACAAUGUGAUGCUGGAGAACUUUGCACUUAUAUCCUCACUGGGAACCUAACAUCAAGAACUCAACUCUUGUACCUACCUGUGUUCUUUGAAGAAUGCAAGCUGCGUGAAGACGAUAUGUCUCUUAUGUCCCAAGGUCUCCCAUUCACUGACAAUACUACCUGAAGCAGCAGUUGCUCAAUGAACAUUUGUUAAACCUGUGAAUAAACAGGACACCUCAACUUUGUGUUCAUUUUUACAAAUCUGGCUGUUGUAAAUAUCCACUUCAACUCUCCUUCCACCUUGGUAUUGCUUAAUGUUUUUGAGAAUAAAAGCCCUGAUAAAAAUUC